CAACUGGCACCCAGCGUGGGAGAUCCUGGCACAGAGGAGUUAACGAGGAAGCCGUUCGAGAGACAGCCGGCUUAAACUGAAAGUGAAAGCAAAUUGAACCGGAGACCUCUGCUGAGGAGUGAGUAAACUGAAUCAAGGAUUAAAGCUUAAAGCUUCAGAACAUUAAAUUAAGUACCGAGACCUGCACAGACGACUACCCAACGUCUUGUCCGAGUCAUGAACACAACUCACAAGCCGGAAUCACGCACACACAUACCAAAACCACCAGGUGGAAACGAACCGGCAGAGUAUUCCACAGCGAACAUAGCCAUGUAAUGGCUACAACUAACGGCAGGAGCAACCUGCCCAACUCAGCAGGAGCGACCUGCCUACGUGAACAUAGCCGUGUAAUGGCUACAACUAACGGCAGGAGCGACCUGCCCAACUCAGCAGGAGAGACCUGCCUAUGCGAACCGGAGACACAUCUCCCUGGAGCCUUAUGCUGCUUAGUCAGCCUUCUUGAGCCACACCACACCCAUGGUGAAUUUCAACCCCUGCCAAACAGACUACAACUGCUGACAGCCAUGCACAGAACCCCAUGACUGUGGAAGAGGCUCUUCUCAGUCUGGAGGAACAUACACCACCCAAAUAGACUGCAUCCAGUGUUAUGCAAGGCAUGCUCCAAGACAUAGGAGAGAAUGACUUCAUACAGAGACUCCAACAAAUGGCUGUCAACCCCUUCUCCUUGAUUUGGGGGGGGGUUUCCCUUACCUAGUGCCCCUUUUGGGUCCCCUAGCUGCCCUAUUGCUUCUCAUUUCUGUGAAUCCUUGUAUUUUUCAGACGAUUCUGAUGUUCAUUAAUAACUGGAUAGACACAUUUAUGGCAAAGCCCAUUCAGGUACACUAUCAUCAGCUGGAGAUUGCAGAUCAACAAACCUACCAGGAAGGAAUUCCCACAGUGGCCCAUAUGAUGAUGCGGCCUAACUGCCCUGGGGCAAUGGACAGGCAGUCAGAGAAGGGCAACUAGGACAUGCAUGUUAAUUCCAAUGGCCACCUAAGACAGGCACAGGACCAACUGCUGUUCUGCAAGCCCAUGACAGGUAAGGCCUGGGUGGUUCAUGCAAUGAGGUCCUUGACCUAAGACAGAUGCUGUCCUCACAGGGCCUGCCAUACUCUUAAUUAAAUAAUAUAAAAAGGGAGGAGAUGUAGGGAGCCGAGUGACAGGCAUUGCUGCCUCCAUGCCUCUCUCUAUGGGCACUGCGUCUGCAUACAUUAACCAUAAUCCUCUCCUGUUUACGUCACAUAACCGGAUGUGACGGUGACCCUGUUUUAUUCAUCUGUUUAACCUCUUCCUGUUCCAGCUCCCGCCCUUAGCAUAGAAAAGGUGUGAUCAUUUUCUGAAUAAACUUAAGGCUUGAUUGGAUUAUCUCAA